rnacentral:rRNA from 1 species
CCCCAGACUCCUACGGGAGGCAGCAGUGGGGAAUAUUGCACAAUGGGGGAAACCCUGAUGCAGCGACGCCGCGUGAGCGAUGAAGUAUUUCGGUAUGUAAAGCUCUAUCAGCAGGGAAGAAAAUGACGGUACCUGACUAAGAAGCCCCGGCUAACUACGUGCCAGCAGCCGCGGUAAUGCGUAGGGGGCAAGCGUUAUCCGGAUUUACUGGGUGUAAAGGGAGCGUAGACGGCGAUGCAAGCCAGAUGUGAAAGCCCGGGGCUCAACCCCGGGACUGCAUUUGGAACUGUAUAGCUGGAGUGUCGGAGAGGCAGGCGGAAUUCCUAGUGUAGCGGUGAAAUGCGUAGAUAUUAGGAGGAACACCAGUGGCGAAGGCGGCCUGCUGGACGAUGACUGACGUUGAGGCUCGAAAGCGUGGGGAGCAAACAGGAUUAGAUACCCCGGUAC